GGGUCAGUAGGUUGGUCGUGCCACCGGUACGUACUGUUCACACUGAUUCCUCCUUCCUGAAGAACCGUAAUGCCAUUAAUUUGGUGUUGCGGGGAAACAGGACUGUUACUUUGAAAAAAUUAUAGUGUUUAAAGCAAGCUAACGCUUGAAUACAUUAGCAUGGAAUAAUGAAAUAGGACGAUCGAUCCUAUUUUGUUGGUUUCUAGGAUUGACGUA
rnacentral:rRNA from 1 species